rnacentral:rRNA from 1 species
AUUGAACGCUGGCGGCAGGCCUAACACAUGCAAGUCGAGCGGAUGAAGGGAGCUUGCUCCUGGAUUCAGCGGCGGACGGGUGAGUAAUGCCUAGGAAUCUGCCUGGUAGUGGGGGAUAACGUCCGGAAACGGGCGCUAAUACCGCAUACGUCCUGAGGGAGAAAGUGGGGGAUCUUCGGACCUCACGCUAUCAGAUGAGCCUAGGUCGGAUUAGCUAGUUGCUGGGGUAAAGGCCUACCAAGGCGACGAUCCGUAACUGGUCUGAGAGGAUGAUCAGUCACACUGGAACUGAGACACGGUCCAGACUCCUACGGGAGGCAGCAGUGGGGAAUAUUGGACAAUGGGCGAAAGCCUGAUCCAGCCAUGCCGCGUGUGUGAAGAAGGUCUUCGGAUUGUAAAGCACUUUAAGUUGGGAGGAAGGGCAGUAAGUUAAUACCUUGCUGUUUUGACGUUACCAACAGAAUAAGCACCGGCUAACUUCGUG